rfam:Necator americanus N_americanus-1.0_Cont888.7, whole genome shotgun sequence.
AAACUUACUUGGCUGGGAGGAUGUCGCGAUCAGGAAGGCGAGACCUCCAUGGUGAGGCCCAUGCACUGCACCUCAGCAAGGGCUGAACCGUGUGGCAACCUCGGGUGAGGUUAGCCAACAGCUAAAUUUUUGCGUGUGGGGCGGCGCUCGCGCGGCCCUGU